rnacentral:tRNA from 1 species
CGGGGCGUGGCGCAGUUUGGUUAGCGCACCAGUCUGGGGGACUGGGGGGCGCAGGUUCAAAUCCUGCCGCUCCGACCA